UAGUCAGUGCAUGGCUGUCAUCAGUGGCCA
rnacentral:piRNA from 1 species